UACGUAGGGGGCAAGCGUUGUCCGGAUUUAUUGGGCGUAAAGAGCUCGUAGGCGGCUCGGUAAGUCGGAUGUGAAACCUCCAGGCUCAACCUGGAGACGCCAUCUGAUACUGCCGUGGCUUGAGUCCGGUAGAGGAGCAGGGAAUUCCUGGUGUAGCGGUGAAAUGCGCAGAUAUCAGGAGGAACACCAGCGGCGAAGGCGCUGCUCUGGGCCGGUACUGACGCUGAGGCGCGAAAGCGUGGGGAGCAAACAGG
rnacentral:rRNA from 1 species